UGUAUUAACUAUGUUAGUUAAUGCACUAAUGGGACCUUGAUAUAAGUGUUACUAUUAAUUGUAUAUCUCUAUAAUCUUAAACUCAACUCUUGAUGUCUGUUUUCAUUUCUUUGUAUGAAUUUUGGGAGAGAAACAUCUAAAAAGAAAGAUGAGACUGUACAUAACUAAGAAUAUUAUUGCAAUUUCACCUUCAGGACUUUCCCAAUAUAUGGAGAAUAUAAUAUCUCAGUUUUAGUACUCAAGUCCAUGCAGUAAAACUAACAUUUCAGAGCCAAAAAGAAAAGUCAGUUUCCCUUUUAACGUCUAGAGCGAACACAAGCUUGGGUUGUUCGUCUGAUCGUUUGUGUCUAGGGUGAAUCUUUGCUGUUGCUCCAUAUUUAAACCAUCUUUGGUAGUGAAGAAUAUUGUUUUAAACUGAAGCUUAUCGUUUCAUCUGGUUGCUCAUGAGUUAUUGAGCCGGUCAUGGUGUUUGUACAGAAAACAUGUAAUAUAAGUCGAUGAUAAAAGUGAUCUCCUCCGGGUAUGGGGGCCCUCAAGGUUCAAUCCUGGGACCUUUCCUGUUUUUUUCAGUCAAUGGGUUGGUGGGGUUACAGGAACAAUCUGCCGCUCCUGGCGUCUCCCCAAGCAAUUCUGUUUUUCUCUGUUGUAUCAAAGCCAAGCGACUGUGUUAUGAGAGCAUGUUAUUGUGUAAAUCCGAUCACAUUCACACAGGCCUUUGCUACACAAAUGGAGGGAUUUUGAAGAAUGUUACAAUUGCCACAACCUGUCUAAGCUCCAGAAAGGUAAAUAUGCAUGGCAAAAUGAUUUUUUAACUUAGUAUUUUGGCACAUUUCGACAGGACUAAAAUCACUGAGAAGCUCUGGUACUCAUUCAUUUACCACAUGUUAAACUAAUCCAGUCCAGAUAGGGCUAAAAACGAUAACCCGCUGUAAAAAGCCCUUUAUUUGGCUUGCCUUAAGUUGAUUUCUCGUCAUCUGAUUCAUGAUUUUGUGUUCCACAGAAGAUCUAAAGUCAUACAGGAUUGCAGUGACCCGAAGGAGGACCUGCUGUCCUGUCGAGCCACUCAAACACACAAGUCCAUCUGUUUCCUACUGGUUCACCUGCAUCGAGACACGACAACAGCUGUUGGAGAAACGUGGGAAACAAAGGACAUGAAGUGAACGAGAGGAGAACGACGUCUGAGUCUCAGUGACUCUCUCUCUCUCUCCUCUGGGCUCCAGAAAACAGUGCCACUGUUCAACUACAAUCAACUAGUGCUGCACAUAAAUACCUCAGUACCAAGACGCUCGAUGUUAUUGACCCGCUGAAGUGUGUGUGUGUGUGAGAGAUAGAGAGAGUGGGUGUUUGUGUGUGUGUGGAACAGCAGAUGCUGCCAGUCAGUCUGACAUGGUCCUGUUAGCCCUUCUAAAUGAUUUCAACUGCAACUCUAUAAACAUUAUUCAGCUAAACACCCUCAACAACACUCACAUAAACACUGUGUACAUUCAACACACACACAGGCCAGUGUUAAUGAACGUGCUUCUCGUUAAAGCAGAAGAUGUCCAUCAGCACAGUAAAUAGGCCACACUGAUGUGUAUUAUGUGUUGAUGUGAACACAGUAGAGAUAAUCACGUGUUUUCUUUACCAGCCACCGAAAGACCUUUAAAAUAGACGUAUAAAAUGAAAAGGUGUGUAAUGACACACAGGUGACGUGCAGCAUCUACCAGGAACGGCUUGAUCAACACAAUUUCCCUUCAUCUUUACAUAUUUAAUAUUAAUAUUUAUUAAUUAA